rnacentral:rRNA from 1 species
GACGAACGCUGGCGGCGUGCUUAACACAUGCAAGUCGAACGGGAGUAUUGAAGAAGCUUGCUUUAGAGAUACUUUAGUGGCGGACGGGUGAGUAACGCGUGAGGAGCUGUUCUAUGCAGGGGGACAACAGUUGGAAACGACUGCUAAUACCCCAUAAGCCUAGAGGUAAAAGGAGCGAUCCGGAAGAGGAGGUACGCGCGUUCUAGCAGCUAGUAGGUGAGGUAACGGAGCACCUAGGCGAAGCCGGGUAGCCGGCCUGAGAGGGCGAACGGCCAAACUGGAACUGAGAUACGGUCCAGACUCCUACGGGAGGCAGCAGUGGGGAAUAUUGGGCAAGGGGGGCAACCCUGACCCAGCGACGCCGCGUGGGUGAAGAAAUCCCUCGGGAUGUAAAGCCCUGUUGUAUGGGAAGAGCAGAAGACGGUACCAUACGAGGAAGCCCCGGCAAACUACGUGCCAGCCGCCGCAGUAA